rnacentral:rRNA from 1 species
AACGCUGGCAGCGUGGAUUAGGCAUGCAAGUCGACGGGAUCGGGAAGGUAGCAAUAUCGGCCCGUGAGAGUGGCGAAGGGCGAGGAACACGUGAGCAACCUGGUCCUUGGAAGGUGGGGGAAAAACCGCUGGAAACGGCGGCUAAUACCGAAUGCGGCGCCGGGAGACAUCUCCCGAGCGCUAAAGGGGGCCGCAAGGCUCCCCCUCUUCGAGGGGCUCGCGCACCAUCAGCUUGUUGGCGGGGUAACGGCCCACCAAGGCUCACGGUUAGCUGGUCUGAGAGGAUGGCCAGCCGCACUGGGACUGAGAUACUGCCCAGACUCCUACGGGAGGCUGCAGUCGAGGAUCAUUCGCAAUGGGGGAAACCCUGACGAUGCGACGCUGCCGUGGAGGAUGAAGGCCCUCGGGUCGUAAACUCCUGUCAUGAGGGAAAAGGCGAAGGGACCCAACACGUCCCCUAGUUGAUGGUACCUCAAGAGGAACGGGCGGCUAACUCUGUGCCAGCCGCCGC